CAAUCAUUUAACACCAAAAAUAAAUCUCUCACAAAAUAUAAUCCUUAAUUUCUCCCUUAUUAUUCUCUGUUAUCCAUUGCUUUCCUUUUUUCCUUUUCCUACUUCAAGAAAACUGCAUUGUUCUUCAUAUUGGAUCUGAAAUUCAUUUGUCUGCCCAUUCACUCUCAGAUCAGAGGUAAAUUAUAAUCUUUGAUAAAUUAGUUCUUUCAAUCAACUCAAAGAGUUCAUCUCUAGAUCGAUCAAAGUUUAUACGUACUUGCUAUACUAAGCAAUUCAAGGUUCCAAAGAUAAAAAAGAUGUCAAACAUCUAUGAGAUUGAUAAUGAUAAAGUUGUGGGCUUUGAGAAUGAAGCAGCAAAAAUUAUAAACCAACUUGUUAAUGGGUCAAAGGAGAGAGAAGUAGUUUUAAUUACUGGUAUGGGCGGAUUGGGAAAGACAACUUUGGUGAAGAGAGUGUAUGAGGAGAAAUCUGUAGUCAACCACUUUGACAAGCAUGCAUGGUGUACUAUUUCUCAAGAAUAUGAUUUCGAGGACUUGUUGAACAAAGUAUAUAAUCAAGUUUGUGGCAAGGAGACAAAGACUGGUAGUAUAGUUGAAAAGCUUCGCAAAAGCCUGAUGGGAUGGAGAUACCUCAUAGUGUUGGAUGAUAUUUGGAGUCUCAAAGCAUGGGAAGAGUUUAACAGAGUUUUUCCCUCAUGUGGCAAUGGAAGUAGAGUUGUUUUAACAAGCAGACAAGAAAGUGUAGUUUUUGAUGCAAAACCUAUUUGCCUUCCAUUCUUCACUGUUGAUGAGAGCUGGGAAUUAUUGCAAGUGAAGUUAUUUAAAGGAAAGGAAUGCCCUAAAGAGCUUGAAAAUAUUGGAAAACAAAUAUCUAAAGAGUGUGGGGGACUACCUUUGAUAGUUGGUUUGGUAGCCGGGCUUCUGGAAGGAGUUGAAAAGAGUCCGCAAAUGUGGCAAGAAUUUCUUAAUACUUUAAGCUCACAAGUUGCAUUUAGAAGCAGAAUGCUCAGCAAUGAUGUGAUAGAACUUAGUUACAAGCAUUUAUCCCAUCAUUUGAAACAAUGCUUACUUUACUUUAGUGCAUUCAAAGAGGAUGUAGAAAUUGAAGUUUCUUAUCUAAUAGAACUAUGGAUAUCUGAAGGGUUCAUAGAGAUUAUGGCGGUGGAGAGAGUAGAAGACACAGCAAAGCAUUAUUUGAACCAUUUGGUUGGGAGUAACUUAAUAAUGGUUUCUGUAAGGAAUUACGAUGGUGGCAUCUUAUGUUGUGUUGUUCAUGAUUUGGUACAUGAUUUUUGCUUAGCAAAAGCUAAAGAGGAAAAUUUCUUGCACAUAAUUAAGAUGAAAGAUGAAGUGGAUCCGAUUUUGAAAUUUACUCCACAUCGAAUAUCUUUCCAUAGACUGGGUCGUAAUAAGAUUCUUAAUGAAUUGGUGUCAUGGAAUUCUCCUAUCAGCACAAUUUUGGGUUACCCAAAGAUUCACACAACCAGAUCUGGUGUUUAUAAUGGCUCAUGGGUUGCCAAAAAAUUUGAACAUCUCACAAUUUUGAAUUUUGAGUUCAUUACUGUGGACAAAUCAAUUUUAUCCGAAAUGAACUCACUAAUUCAUCUAAAGUAUCUAGCUCUCUAUCUAGUUGGACGUGGUUCUGUCUCACCAUUGUCACUCAAGAAUCUUCAGCAUCUCAUAACGUUAAAGUUGACUUCAGAAAGCGAAUUGCAUUUGCCAAAAUAUUUUUUGAAUAUGAAAAGUUUGAGACAUAUGACUAUCUGCCACUAUGAUUGUCAUUCAUGCCCAACAGAACCAACUCCAGCAGGUGGUAUUGAAACAAUUUCUGGUUUAGAAGUCUUACAGAGCUUAGAUUUGGAGACUUUUCUGUGUAUAAGGACGGAUGGACAUUUAUUGAGGAAGCUUUCCCAUCUCAAAUAUUUGAAUUGUGCGGUCUCGCCAUAUCCAUUUGCUGAUGAAAUUGACAUGCUGCAUCAUCUUGAAUUUCUCCAGUUACAUGAUCCCCGUUUUCCGAAGUAUCAUGAGAAUCCACAUCUUCUUAAAAUCAGAAAGUUUCCACCAAAUAUUAAGGAAAUAAAUUUGGAGAGUAUUUAUCUUUCGUUGUCAACAAUGUCAAUAAUUUCACAACUCUCCAAUCUUGAAGCUCUAAUACUAGUGGCUUGCAAGUUUGAGGAGGAAGAAUGGAAUGUGGAGGAGGAAAUCCUAUUCUGCAAACUCAAAUACCUGGAAUUAAACAAUCCUAGUAUUAGAAUUUGGAAUAUUAGCAGUGCCGCAGAGUCUUUUCCUUGCCUUGAGCAAGUAAUUUUGAAUGGUUGUUGGAAGUUACAGACGGUGCCUUAUAGUUUGGCAGAUAUUUUAACAUUGAAACUAAUCUCUGUGCGUGGCUGCACUGAUACAUGUGAACGUUCCGUGAAGGAAAUUGAGGAAGAUGUACAAGGAAUGGGAAAAGAUGAGCAUCUCAAGAUUAUAUUAACAAGAGGAAUAAUGAUAAGUACUGAUUCAGAUGUAAGUUUAGCAAAUAUGACAGGGCCUAUGAAGAGAAGACAUGAUCGAAAUCGGCACUGGCGAAGAGAACUCGUUUUUGCAGAUGUGAUGAAGAAGUUAUCUUCUCGUUUGCGAAUGAAUUUAACAUGAAUUAUGCAGAUGUGCUGAAGAAUAUUUGAGAUUUGCUGAAGAGACUUGAUGAGAAAGAAUAUUUGAGGAGUUUGUGAAGGAUCACUUGUUGCUGUUGUUGAUGGAUUCAACCCAACACUUCUUGUUGCUGUUGAUGGAGUUUGUCAAAUGUUGAUGUUUAGUAUUUUUUUUUAUCACUUCUGUUGAAGGUUAAGAAGAGAGGAAUGAAUUGAUGGAUUCACCACUUGAUGUUAUUGGAGUUUGUCAAAUGUUGGUGCUUACUAUUUUUUGAUCACUUGAUGUUGCUUUUGAAUAUUAUGCUCAAAUAUUAAUAUAUUAUUGAAUUCUAUUGAAUGUUACAA